AGUCCUAUAAAAAGGCAUAGUAAUUUCACCCGCGGUACCAUACACCUGCUCAAGUGAGUGAAGUGAGCUCGAAAAUCCUAGCCACAACAUGAAACUUCUGGUACUUCUUGGAUUUUUGGCUGUGGCCCACUCGCAAGUUUCCGAAAAACGCAUGAGCUCUCUAGACGUUUUGGAGAAACUCAGUCAGCAUAUUCCCAACUACAAAUAUGCAACGGACUUAACCAUCCUUAGACUAUCUGAGGCAAAAAAAAAUGCAUCGGAAGUGCUGAACGAAUUUUACAGGAAAACCCUCAAAAUUAAGACAGAAUCACUUGUGUCGAUGAUUAACUUAGAGCUAGAAAUGAUAAACUAUGGAAAAUCAGUUAUCGAAUAUUGUUGGGAGAAUAAUAUACCCAUCCUCGAAGGUAGAAUGGGAUGGGCCGGUGAUGACUACAGGUACUGUAUCAAGCAAUUGGAUAACUCAACCACUAAUGUAGUUGCCAAAAUCUAUGGAAGCUUCAACGAUGACGAAAGUAAUAUCCGCAAGUAUAGUUUGUUCGAGGUCUUCGAGGGGAGGAACAUCAUCAACGAACCGCAGUCGAUCAUCGAUGCCAUCUCUAAACUUGAUACCGUUGUAACUGAUGGCAUUCCGGAGUUCGGUGAUGUU